GUAUACAGCCAUGCUACCCUGAACAAGUCCGAUCCCGUCUGAUCUCGGAAGCUAAGCAAGGUCGGGCCUGGUUAUUACAUGGAUGGGAGACCACCUAGGAAGACCAGGUGCUGUAGGCG
rnacentral:rRNA from 1 species